UACAGAGGGGGCAAGCGUUGUUCGGAAUUACUGGGCGUAAAGGGCGCGUAGGCGGCCUUCUAAGUCGAACGUGAAAUCCCCGGGCUCAACCCGGGAACUGCGUCCGAUACUGGAAGGCUUGAAUCCGGGAGAGGGAUGUGGAAUUCCAGGUGUAGCGGUGAAAUGCGUAGAUAUCUGGAGGAACACCGGUGGCGAAGGCGACAUCCUGGACCGGUAUCGACGCUGAGGCGCGAAAGCCAGGGGAGCAAACGGG
rnacentral:rRNA from 1 species